rnacentral:rRNA from 1 species
GAUGAACGCUAGCUACAGGCUUAACACAUGCAAGUCGAGGGGUAACAAGAGAAAAGCUUGCUUUUUUUGUUGACGACCGGCGCACGGGUGAGUAACGCGUAUCCAACCUGCCUAUAACUAGGGAAUAACCUUGCGAAAGUAAGACUAAUACCCUAUGAUUUCCUUUGAUGAAAUCAGAUUAGGAAUAAAGACUUAUCGGGUAAAGAUGGGGAUGCGUCUGAUUAGCUUGUUGGCGGGGUAACGGCCCACCAAGGCAACGAUCAGUAGGGGUUCUGAGAGGAAGGUCCCCCACAUUGGAACUGAGACACGGUCCAAACUCCUACGGGAGGCAGCAGUGAGGAAUAUUGGUCAAUGGGCGGAAGCCUGAACCAGCCAAGUAGCGUGCAGGAUGACGGCCCUAUGGGUUGUAAACUGCUUUUAUACAGGAAUAAAGUUAGCCACGUGUGGUUAUUUGUAGGUACUGUAUGAAUAAGGACCGGCUAAUUCCGUGCCAGCAGCCGCGGUAA